GACGAACGCUGGCGGCGUGCUUAACACAUGCAAGUCGAACGGUAAGGCCCUUCGGGGUACACGAGUGGCGAACGGGUGAGUAACACGUGGGUGAUCUGCCCUGCACUUCGGGAUAAGCCUGGGAAACUGGGUCUAAUACCGGAUAGGACCACUGCCUGCAUGGGUGGUGGUGGAAAGCUUUUGCGGUGUGGGAUGGGCCCGCGGCCUAUCAGCUUGUUGGUGGGGUGAUGGCCUACCAAGGCGACGACGGGUAGCCGGCCUGAGAGGGUGACAGGCCAAGCUGGGAGUGGGCGACGGCCCAGACGCCUGCGGGAGGCAGCAGUGGGGAAUAGUGCACAAUGGGCGCAAGCCUGAUGCAGCGACGCCGCGUGAGGGAUGACGGCCUUCGGGUUGUAAACCUCUUUCAGCACCGACGAAGCGCAAGUGACGGUAGGUGCAGAAGAAGGACCGGCCAACUACGUGCCAGCCGCCGCGGUAA
rnacentral:rRNA from 1 species